rnacentral:misc_RNA from 1 species
UUUCCGUAGGUGAACCUGCGGAAGGAUCAUUACCGAGUUUAUUUGGCGGGGUUGAGCUGGUCUCCGGACAUGUGCUCGCCCUUCUAAUCCACUCUAUACACCUGUGCACCUAUUGUGGGUAUAUAAAAUGCGGAAGGGGGCUGGAUAACGGCCUUUGGAAGCACGCAUAUACUCAUGUUUAUACACACUAUGUAUGUCUCAGAAUGUCUACUUUGCGUUAACUCGCAUAUAAUACAACUUUCAACAACGGAUCUCUUGGCUCUCGCAUCGAUGAAGAACGCAGC